rnacentral:rRNA from 1 species
GUCUUUCCCCGGAUAAGCGGGCACCGAACGUGUGUGUGCUCGAAAUAGCCUCAUUGUAGGCGUUCUCCAGAAGAGAAAAAAAGCCCCAUCCCAACAGGCUGAGACAAUAGCUGCACAGCAUGCCUUGAAUACCAAGCCAUGCUUCAAAUUCAGAUUCAUAUUCCUACAUUCACAUACUAUGCAUCUGUUCUUCUGAUGCCAGACCAGAGUCGUUGUUAAAGUUAAUCAUACAUUGUUUUACUGACGCUGAUGACAACGCAUAAGAAAAAAAAGUUUAUGUUUGUCCUGGUGGCGGCAACCCGCCCAGAAACAACAAGUGCGCAAAAGACAUGGUAAACAAAUAUCUUCAGCCGGCCGCGAAAGCCAGGCCUUCAUAUUUUGUUGGUAAUGAUUCUUUCCGUAGGGGGGACCUGCGGAGGGAUCAUUACACAACAAAAUAUGAAGGCCUGGCUUUCGCGGCCGGCUGAAGUAUUUUUUUCACCCAUGUCUUUUGCGCACUUGUUGUUUCCUGGGCGGGUUCGCCCGCCACCAGGACCAAACCAUAAACCUUUUUUUCUUAUGCAGUUUCCAUCAGCGUCAGUAAAAACAAUGUAAUUAUUACAACUUUCAACAACGGAUCUCUUGGUUCUGGCAUCGAUGAAGAACGCAGCGAAAUGCGAUACGUAGUGUGAAUUGCAGAAUUCAGUGAAUCAUCGAAUCUUUGAACGCACAUUGCGCCCUUUGGUAUUCCAAAGGGCAUGCCUGUUCGAGCGUCAUUUGUACCUUCAAGCUUUGCUUGGUGUUGGGCGUUUUUUUGUCUCCCUCUUUCUGGGAGACUCGCCUUAAAACGAUUGGCAGCCGGCCUACUGGUUUCGGAGCGCAGCACAUUUUUUGCGCUUUGUAUCAGGAGAAAAGGACGGUACUCCAUCAAGACUCUACAUUUUUCACUUUGACCUCGGAUCAGGUUGGAUUCG